rnacentral:rRNA from 1 species
UAGGGAAUCUUCGGCAAUGGGGGGAACCCUGACCGAGCAACGCCGCGUGAGUGAAGAAGGUUUUCGGAUCGUAAAGCUCUGUUGUUAAGGAAGAACGAGUGUGAGAAUGGAAAGUUCAUGCUGUGACGGUACUUAACCAGAAAGGGACGGCUAACUACGUGCCAGCAGCCGCGGUAAUACGUAAGGUCCGAGCGUUGUCCGGAAUCAUUGGGCGUAAAGGGUACGUAGGCGGAUAAGCAAGUUAGAAGUGAAAUCCUAUAGCUCAACUAUAGUAAGCUUUUAAAACUGCUCAUCUUGAGGUAUGGAAGGGAAAGUGGAAUUCCUAGUGUAGCGGUGAAAUGCGCAGAUAUUAGGAGGAAUACCGGUGGCGAAGGCGACUUCCUGGCCAUAAACUGACGCUGAGGUACGAAAGCGUGGGUAGCAAACAGG